AUUGAACGCUGGCGGUAUGCUUAACACAUGCAAGUCGAACGAGUGGCGGUCGGGUGAGUAAUGCAUAGGAAUCUAGCUUAUGGAGGGGGAUAACUACGGGAAACUGUAGCUAAUACCGCGUACCAUAGGAUGAGCCCAAGUGGGAUUAGGUAGUUGGUGAGGUAAAGGCUCACCAAGCCGACGAUCUCUAGCUGGUCUGAGAGGAUGACCAGCCACACUGGGACUGAGACACGGCCCAGACUCCUACGGGAGGCAGCAGUGGGGAAUAUUGCGCAAUGGGGGCAACCCUGAUGCAGCCAUGCCGCGUGUAUGAAGAAGGCCUUAGGGUUGUAAAGUACUUUCAGCGGGGAGGCGUUACCCGCAGAAGAAGCACCGGCUAACUCCGUGCCAGCAGCCGCGGUAAUUC
rnacentral:rRNA from 1 species